UCGAGCCAGAAUUAAUGUUUACAGUGCAUUGACUCAAUCUUCAUAUCCUUUCGUGCAGAGGUCGUUCUUUGGGUCUUUAUUUCAAAAAACACUUUUUUUUUCUUUUUUAAGAAUGUCUAAUUAUUAGAGCGGACGCUGAAAGUUCUUUCUUUUUAAUGCGAUUGAAGCUUGGAAACGUUCUCAAUAUGUCCUUCAAGUUGUGCGGUUUAGUAUUUCAAUUUGACAAUUACGUUCAAACCUAAAAGUCCCAGGGUGACUUUUAAGUGGUUUGGGUUAAUUCCGGAAAUCAAUCAAGGUCCAAAAAAUAUUCACCUUGAAUAUCCUCGUCCUCUUCCAAUUUUCAAUAGUACUGUACCAGAAAAUUCCUUUGAAAGCAAGUGAUUAGUGGUAAUCUACACAAGGCUUUCUGUCCCUUUAAAAACAAAUCGUUUGUUGUGUAGUUCCCAGGCCCCUGUAAGUAUCGCAGCGAUCUAGUUUCAAUACCUCAUUGUUAUUGGAGCUCUAAAAGGGAUGUCGACCGUUAUGAAAGACUCCACGACAAAAGUUGCAUUAUUUAGCGACAAGAAACCUGAACCAACAAGAGGUAUCUCUUCAAUUAACAGGUGGCAAGUUACACUAAGUUUUUCAACAAUUACCCUCGCUAUUUUCAGUUGGGUGUCCAGAUUCUUUUGAAAGAUAACCUGAUCUUCGUACAUCAGUGGUCGAGUUACUACAAGAGAUGAUCUCAGUAUAAAAGCGGGCUUUCGUUCUACGAGCUUUAUUCUGCUGUUGAUAAUACAGUGCUGGUAUCUGGAUCAAUAGUAGUGUUCGCAAGAUACGUAUAAACAAUGCAAAUUGAAUCUUAAAGGCAAGAAUAACUUGAACAUGGAGUUGGGACUGUGGGAAUCGAGAGCCUGGAAGUCCUAGCCACCAUCCAGAUACAUGUAUGGACUCUAAGGGUCACAAACCUCCAGCGCCAGCCACACAUUCACAGACACCCAAUCAUAAAGAAGGCAACCUUACUUCCUUACUCCGCUGUGAGGUUGUGUUGUAGUGGUGUUGAAGUUUUUACCCUUCUUCUUGGCCAGAUCAAGUGGAGGGAUAGGUGCUGCUGAAAAAGGGAAAGGUGAGGACUCAAGGUCUUAGUGAAAGUCACUUCUUCUUCAGUAACAAGAGAGAGCAAACGAUUCUUACAAGUUGAACUUUCGUUGUACUCUAAACAAACUCUGGGAUAAUUUGUUUCCUUGGGUAAAAUUUCCACACAGCACUAUGCUAUUGUAAAACAGAUCUGCUUUCCCAAUGGCACUGUAUUGUUUUUGUCAUUGUUUUCUCAAUCCAAGAACUGAAUGCAAAAUGUAGUAUGGGGCUGUGCAUAAAUUUUACUAUUCCUUGUACUGUUUGGUUAUGGCAGGUGUUUUUCUCUCCACUUGGAGCUCUUGGGGUCACAUGCAUGGAACACACAUUGGCUCUUAGAUUUGGGUUGUAGCUACGGAAAUGCUCACUGAUAGUUUCUUCACAUAAUAAUAAGAGGAAUUUAAUAAGAAGAAGCAGGCAGCUGUUUAGUCAAUACAUAUCUUGACAAACACUACAUGUGAGUACUAUUUACAACCUUACAUAAUUUAUUCUUCACCCUUCUACCAA